rnacentral:rRNA from 1 species
GACGAACGCUGGCGGCGUGCUUAACACAUGCAAGUCGAACGGAAAGGCCCUGCUUUUGUGGGGUGCUCGAGUGGCGAACGGGUGAGUAACACGUGAGUAACCUGCCCUUGACUUUGGGAUAACUUCAGGAAACUGGGGCUAAUACCGGAUAGGAGCUCCUGCUGCAUGGUGGGGGUUGGAAAGUUUCGGCGGUUGGGGAUGGACUCGCGGCUUAUCAGCUUGUUGGUGGGGUAGUGACUUACCAAGGCUUUGACGGGUAGCCGGCCUGAGAGGGUGACCGGCCACAUUGGGACUGAGAUACGGCCCAGACUCCUACGGGAGGCAGCAGUGGGGAAUAUUGCACAAUGGGCGGAAGCCGGAUGCAGCAACGCCGCGUGCGGGAUGACGGCCUUCGGGUUGUAAACCGCUUUCGCCUGUGACGAAGCGUGAGUGACGGUAAUGGGUAAAGAAGCACCGGCUAACUACGU